AUUGAACGCUGGCGGCAUGCUUUACACAUGCAAGUCGAACGGUAACAGGCCUUCGGGUGCUGACGAGUGGCGAACGGGUGAGUAAUGCAUCGGAACGUGCCCAGAGGUGGGGGAUAACGCAGCGAAAGCUGUGCUAAUACCGCAUGUGAUCUGAGGAUGAAAGCGGGGGACCAAGCAGCAAUGUUUGGCCUCGCGCCUCUGGAUCGGCCGAUGUCCGAUUAGGUAGUUGGUGGGGUAAAGGCCUACCAAGCCGACGAUCUGUAGCUGGUCUGAGAGGACGACCAGCCACACUGGGACUGAGACACGGCCCAGACUCCUACGGGAGGCAGAAGUGGGGAAUUUUGGACAAUGGGCGAAAGCCUGAUCCAGCAAUGCCGCGUGCGGGAAGAAGGCCUUCGGGUUGUAAACCGCUUUUGUACGGAACGAAAAGGCUCUGGCUAAUACCUGGGGCUGAUGACGGUACCGUAAGAAUAAGCACCGGCUAACUACGUG
rnacentral:rRNA from 1 species